GACGAACGCUGGCGGCGUGCUUAACACAUGCAAGUCGAGCGGUAAGGCCCUUUGGGGUACACGAGCGGCGAACGGGUGAGUAACACGUGAGUAAUCUGCCUUUGGCUUGGGAAUAACUUCGGGAAAUCGGGGCUAAUGCCUGAUGUUUACUGUCUGCUGCAUGGUGGGUGGUGGAAAGAUUUUUUGGCCAGGGAUGAGCUCGCGGUCUAUCAGCUUGUUGGUGGGGUAAUGGCUACCAAGGCUUUGACGGGUAGCCGGCCUGAGAGGGUGUUCGGCCACACUGGGACUGAGACACGGCCCAGACUCCUACGGGGAGGCAGCAGGUGGGGAAUAUUGCGCAAUGGGCGUAAGCCUGACGCAGUGA
rnacentral:rRNA from 1 species